rnacentral:rRNA from 1 species
AUGAUAGAAGGGGAAAUUUCCUCCCGGCCGACGACGUCACGGCGGCUGGGCUACUGCGCCCUGAUAUGGAUAGAAAUUGAAUGGGCGAAGGAACGGAUGGGAUGCCCUGCCACGGUAUUCCCCUCCAUUGUGCGUGCCCCGGCCCAGCCCUUUUUGGUUUUUUCUACUUUCGCCCCUCCUCCAGCCUGGAUUCCCCCUCUGGAAGGAAACACGCACAGCAUCCAAUCCAAGGGUAAAAAAAAGAGCAAAUUCAAAUUCGGUUUUCGAAAUAAAAACAGUAAAAAAAAGCGCGUGGGGCAGUGA